rnacentral:rRNA from 1 species
UUUCCUACGGGAGGCAGCAGUGAGGAAUAUUGGUCAAUGGGAGAGAUCCUGAACCAGCCAAGCCGCGUGAGGGAAGACGGCCCUAUGGGCUGUAAACCUCUUUUGUCGGAGAACAAAACCCGGGACGAGUCCCGGACUGCGUGUAUCCGAAGAAAAAGCAUCGGCUAACUCCGUGCCAGCAGCCGCGGUAAUACGGAGGAUGCGAGCGUUAUCCGGAUUUAUUGGGUUUAAAGGGUGCGUAGGCGGGACGGUAAGUCAG